rnacentral:rRNA from 1 species
UACGUAGGUGGCGAGCGUUGUCCGGAUUUACUGGGCGUAAAGGGCGUGCAGGCGGUUUGUUAAGUGCAGGGUGAAAGCCCCGGGCUCAACCUGGGAAUGGCAGUGGAGACUGGCAAGCUAGAGUGCGGUAGAGGAUAGUGGAAUUCCCGGUGUAGCGGUGAAAUGCGUAGAGAUCGGGAGGAACACCAGUGGCGAAGGCGGCUAUCUGGACCAGCACUGACACUCAGGCACGAAAGCGUGGGGAGCAAACAGG